CCCUUAGAUGUUCUGGGCAGCACGCGCGCUACAAUGGUCUUCGCAAACGGAUGCAUUCUCGAAGGAGAAUGCCAAUCUUGGAAUCUAUGCCUUGGUCGGGACAGUUGCUUGCAAUUUUUCAACUCGAACCAGGAAUUCCUUGUAAUCGUGAUUCAUCACAUCACGAUGAAUACGUCCCUGCCCUUUGUACACACCGCCCGUCGCUCCUACCGAUCGAAGAGUUAGGUGAAUUGUUUUGAUCGAUAAGAUUUGACUAUGGUCAACUCUCGUUGUGAAAUUCUGUGAAUCUGACUGUUUAGAGGAAGGAAAAGUCGUAACA
rnacentral:rRNA from 1 species